UAAGCAUACGGUGAAAGCGUUCGGCUCAACCGAAUAUACAUCGUAUGAACUGCUAAGCUAGAAUAUAGAAGAGGUAGCUGGAAUUCCCUGUGUAGGAGUGAAAUCCGUAGAUAUAGGGAGGAACACCGAUGGCGUAGGCAGGCUACUGGUCUAUUAUUGACACUAAGGCACGAAAGCGUGGGAGCGAACAGGAUUAGAUACCCUGGUAGUCCACGCUGUAAACGAUGGAUGCUA
rnacentral:rRNA from 1 species